rnacentral:rRNA from 1 species
AAUCAACGCUGGCGGCGCGCUUAACACAUGCAAGUCGAACGAGAAAGUGGAGCAAUCCAUGAGUACAGUGGCGCACUGGUGAGUAACACGUGGGUAAUUUACCUCUUUGUGGGGAAUAACCCUGGGAAACCGGGGAUAAUACCGCAUACGUCCGAGAGGAGAAAGCCGAAAGGCGCAGAGAGAAAAGCCCGCGCCCGAUUAGCUAGUUGGUGAGGUAAGAGCUCACCAAGGCGACGAUCGGUAGCCGGCCUGAGAGGGCACACGGCCACACUGGCACUGAAACACGGGCCAGACUCCUACGGGAGGCAGCAGUGGGGAAUCUUGCACAAUGGGGGAAACCCUGAUGCAGCGACGCCGCGUGAGCGAUGAAGCCCUUCGGGGUGUAAAGCUCUUUCGACAGGAACGAUAAUGACGGUACCUGAAGAAGAAGCUGCGGCUAACUACGUGCCAGCAGCCGCGGUAAUACGUAGGCAGCAAGCGUUGUUCGGAAUUACUGGGCGUAAAGAGUGCGUAGGUGGUUGGCUAAGUUUGGUGUGAAAUCUCCCGGCUCAACUGGGAGGGUGCGCCGAAAACUGGCUGGCUAGAGUGUGGGAGAGGGACGUGGAAUUCCUGGUGUAGCGGUGAAAUGCGUAGAUAUCAGGAGGAACACCUGCGGUGUAGACGGCGUCCUGUACCAUUACUGAC